rnacentral:lncRNA from 1 species
AUGCACCACACUCUGCCCACACCGGUUCCAAGUGACCCACUCGGGCCUCACCUUCUCCUGUGUCCUCUCCCUGUCAGACAAGAAAGCAAACCCCGGGGGUCAGCGGAGGUCUGCUGGCCGGCAAGCCCUCUGCCCCGCCUCUUUCCACCCCUCUGGGCUCUGCAGGCCUCGGCGGCCUCACCUGCGUCUGCACCAGCUCAGCGCCAGCUCGGGGCCCAGCACCUGCCGGCCCGACGGUCUGGCCUCGGUCCACACGGGUGGCUUCUCCCGCCCCUGGGCCGAUCCCCGCCGAACCCAGAGUUCGCGGCCGGCGGGAGCCCAGGGUCCGGGACAGACGGACGGACGGACGGAAGGAAGGAGGUCACGGCAGCGCCGCGCCGCUCGGAUCUCCCUCCUGGGGCUCACGCGGCGGAGGCCGGGAGGUGCCAGGAGGAGUGGCCCGGCCGGGUGCCCGCCCUCCGCCCCGCGUGUCGGUGCCGGAACCCGGGCAGUGGGCGGUCUCGGGGCUUCCGUCUGCGGCUGGGCGCCCGCUCCGCGAGGACAGGCGCUGGACCAGCUUCCAUCCCGGUCCCGGCUUACCUGGCACCUGCGGGCGCUCCACCCACGGGAGGUUCGUCCCCGCUUCCCGCCUGAAGGCGACGGUGGCCCACAGCACGUCCGACCGGUUUCAGGUAGAAACAAGAGUUGAAGAUGUCCAGCAAAACAGCAAGCACCAACAACAUCGCCCAGGCACGGAGAACGGUGCAACAGCUGAGAAUGGAAGCCUCCAUCGAGAGAAUAAAG